ACUCCUGUUACGACGGACACUAUCAAAAAAACAGAAAAGAAAAAGUGUUGGCAAGGAUGUGCAGAAAUCAGAACCUUUGUGCAUUGUUGAUGGAAGAGUAAAAUGGUA